CUCUGACACUCUGUUCUACGUACUGUCUUUGGGGGGCAGCUUUCCUUUGCUCUGUGGGGUUCUGGUUGGAAUGGCCUCUGAAAGAACCAGGUACAUCUAGCCUGAAGAUUAUGGAGGCAGACCAGACGUUGCUGGAAGGAUGUCACAGGGAAGGGGGAAGGGAAGGGAAGGGGGACCGUCUAUUCUCACAGCUCCCCAGGGCAAAACUAAGAGUGCAGGUGAAGGUGCAGAGAGGCACGAUUUUGCGCUUCUGAAGGUGGAAGGGGAUGUCCAGGCGGUGCCCCAGCACCUCGGCACAGAAAGGAAUCACAGGACCUGGGUUCAGAUCCUGCCUCUACCUAUAUGCCCUUGGGCAAGUAAGGUAAUCUCCCAAGACCUCAGUUUCCUCAUCUGUCAAACGAGAGAGUGGGACGGCCUGUGGUCUCCGAGGCCCCUUCCAGCUCCCAAUUUCAGGUUCCGCGAGGCCUCAUUGGUGCCUAACCUGUGCAUGCAGGAGCAGAUAAGGAACCUGAGGCCCAGGGAGGGCAAGUGACCAAAGAGACACGGCAGGGCGUGGAUCUGAACCCAGGUCCUGACUCCAGAUCCCCAGCUGUUCAGGUCGGGAAUGGCCUUUAAUCUUUCAUUAAAAUGGCUCAAAAUGAAUCAAUCAUACAGCUGCCUUUCAGGGAUGCAGGCAGAUGGAAGAAGACGAGGGCACGGUUAAUCCAGAAAUCCCAGGAUAAUCCAAAAAUGCUUCCUAGGAAGAGUUCAGGGGCAGCACGAGGUGGGCGCCUUGCCACGUUGUGCAUCAUUAAUUAAAUCAUUCCUCGAUAAAAGUCUAGAAUGUGCACGUAGAAAAUAGGAGGUGGGAGGGCCCUUAAAGCAGACAUGAGCUCGGAGGGGCGUAGGGCACUGAAUGUCAGGACUAGGCGGGGCCUAGAACGCCGCCACAAAGGCCUCACAGCCGUGACAUCAGCCCCAGGACAGGCCCCCCGGGACCCAUAGAGAGAGGGCCCCGGGCAAAAGGACGGGGGCCGCCGGGCUCCAGGGCCC